ACGCUCGACACCUACGGGGGCAGCAGUGGGGAAUAUUGCACAAUGGGGGAAACCCUGAUGCAGCGACGCCGCGUGAAGGAAGAAGUAUCUCGGUAUGUAAACUUCUAUCAGCAGGGAAGAAAAUGACGGUACCUGACUAAGAAGCCCCGGCUAACUACGUGUCAGCAGCCGCGGUAAUCUGAGCGGGCUGGCAAGGC
rnacentral:rRNA from 1 species